GGCCUCCCAGUGCUUACCAGAGGUUGUUUUGUUACACUGACUGUACAGAAAGAGGAGGUACAGUAAAUGCUCCCCCUAUACACCUCUAACCAGGCCCUUUGCCUGGUCUGUAUUGUGAAUGGGGGGGGCAAAA